rnacentral:rRNA from 1 species
GGGAAUAUUGCGCAAUGGGCGAAAGCCUGACGCAGCGACGCCGCGUGGGGGAUGACGGCCUUCGGGUUGUAAACCUCUUUCAGCAGGGACGAAGCGCAAGUGACGGUACCUGCAGAAGAAGCACCGGCCAACUACGUGCCAGCAGCCGCGGUAAUACGUAGGGUGCAAGCGUUGUCCGGAAUUAUUGGGCGUAAAGAGCUCGUAGGCGGUUUGUUGCGUCGGCUGUGAAAUCCCGAGGCUCAACCUCGGGUCUGCAGUCGAUACGAGCAAACUAGAGUGUUGCAGGGGAGACUGGAAUUCCUGGUGUAGCGGUGAAAUGCGCAGAUAUCAGGAGGAACACCGGUGGCGAAGGCGGGUCUCUGGGCAACAACUGACGCUGAGGAGCGAAAGCGUGGGGAGCGAACAGG